UACGAAGGGGGCUAGCGUUGCUCGGAAUCACUGGGCGUAAAGCGCACGUAGGCGGAUUUCUAAGUCAGGGGUGAAAUCCUGGAGCUCAACUCCAGAACUGCCUUUGAUACUGGGGAUCUCGAGUCCGGAAGAGGUGAGUGGAACUGCGAGUGUAGAGGUGAAAUUCGUAGAUAUUCGCAAGAACACCCGUGGCGAAGGCGGUUCACUGGGACGGUACUGGACGCUGAGACGC
rnacentral:rRNA from 1 species